UAAAAAACUUCAAUCGAUUGACCACCAUUUUCUUUUGUCUGUGGCGUAAUUUAAGUGAAAUUUCUUUUGAUUAAAAUUAUUAAAAUAGGAAUUAAAAAGGUAAAGUAGUAGCGGCCAUUUUUUCUGUGUCAAAAUAAUAAACAAGAUUCCUGUUUGUAAAAUUUUCCAAAAACGAUUCCUUGGGGCCCAAAAAUAUGGAUGAUUUAAAGCAGUUGCAGCACAAUGGCCUCAUUUAUGGCUCGACGGAUUCUAAUUCUGGUAGCGAUAGCGAAGAUAGUACAAUUUCAGCUGUGAAAAACGGUCCAGAAAAUCAUCGGCGAAAUCGUAUGCCCACAAGACGCCCAAACCCGAAUAUACAUAACCGGAAUGCCUUGUUGGCACGAGAAAAUCGUCGCAAGAAAAAAGAGCAUUUGCAGGCCAUGGAGAAGGAACUGGAGGAAAUGCGGUUGACAAACAAACAACUGAAGAAGGCAUUGAAGCAGCAGAUGAAAGCAGUUGAUCAACUUCAGCGAGAAAAAAGGUAUUUUCAGAGCGUUAUAGCAAAUCACAAAGAAAUAGAGAAUCUUAUUAAAGCUCUGAAUGUUCGAAUGCAUGCACAGCAAACUGCAAAUGAAAAUUCUCCAAUGUUGAAUUCACCAGGACAUUCGAAUUGUAGUCGACAGCUGUGUCCAUCACCACAGAUUUUGCAGCAGUUGGCCAGCGUGGAAAAUGGGUUGGAAAAAGGCUUUGAUCAAAAUCUAACUCCCACGUCGCAUCUUUCGGAUAAUGAUUUCGCACCUUCGUCUGUUUUUAAUGAUGCAUGGUCCGAUCUACUAGAUGAUGACUUUGCAACAAAAGACAAUACACAAAUAACUACGGUUACUGAAGAUCAUAGUUACGCAGAUUUCAGUCAAAUGUCUCCGACAGGAAAUACAGAAGCAGAUGCAGGCGUUUGUUUACAUAUAAGGCAAGGGAAAGUUUCUUUAGAAUUCUGCCCUAGCUGUAGUUGGAAUGCAAAUGACAAUUCAGCCACAUACGCUAUGUAAAAUUGAUUUAGUCUUAAUUAUGGUUUUUAUACUUUUAGCGAUACUAAGUACAUACAAAUUUAUGUAUUACGAUUAUUUUUAUGCUUUAAUGAAAUUAAGACGAUUUUUCAUCACAAAUUCGGAGUGACUGAGAAGAAAAGCUCUGUGACUACCACAAUUUUGUCAACACUUGAACAUCUUCCGAAAGUCAGAGAUAAAGGUAAAAGUCGCAGAUAGAUAAAAUUUCUGAAGCCUUAAAAUAAAACAGUUUACGUCAAUUUCGUUUACCGAAUAAUUUAUUGCUGCUAUAAGUAAGCAAUAGAUCUUUUAAAAUUGUGACUUUUAUGUAAAACAAAGCAAUUUGCAAAUGAAUUUGCAGUUAAUUAUUUCGUUUUUUUUUUUUUUUUUUUUUUUUUUAAGGGCACUCCGAAUUAUAGUCGAUGAAUUUUCGUUCAGAUAAUUUGGUCGCGUCUUUUGUUGGAAGGCCUGAGUUAUUACUUAAAAAUAUAAAUGCGAUACAUACUAGAAUUUCUCAUUCACUGAAUAAAUGUUAUUUAUUUAAUAUUA
rnacentral:misc_RNA from 1 species